GUGGGGAAUCUUCCGCAAUGGACGAAAGUCUGACGGAGCAACGCCGCGUGAGUGAAGACGGCCUUCGGGUUGUAAAGCUCUGUUAUACGGGACGAACGGGCGGGAUGCUAAUACCAUCCUGUUGUGACGGUACCGUAAGAGAAAGCCACGGCUAACUACGUGCCAGCAGCCGCGGUAAUACGUAGGUGGCAAGCGUUGUCCGGAAUUAUUGGGCGUAAAGGGUGCGCAGGCGGUCUCUUAAGUCUGUCUUAAAAGUGCGGGGCUCAACCCCGUGAGGGGACGGAAACUGGGAGACUGGAGUAUCGGAGAGGAAAGCAGAAUUCCUAGUGUAGCGGUGAAAUGCGUAGAUAUUAGGAGGAAUACCAGUGGCGAAAGCGGCUUUCUGGACGACAACUGACGCUGAGGCACGAAAGCCAGGGGAGCGAACGGGAUUAGAAACCCUAGUAGUCC
rnacentral:rRNA from 1 species